UUCCCUGGCAUGUUGUCUGUCUCGCUAUAUCACCAACAACCAAUAUGAGAUGGUGUAGUGAUCCACAGGGUAUCAACUGGAGAUCACCGAGAGCUGGACCUGACAAAAAGGGAAAACAUUUAGUUUCAGUGUUCUGUAUGUGUGCCUUAGCUAAACAUUUCAUUUUAGUGAAUUUCUGACUGCUUUUUAAAGAAUAGUUCUUGUUGGUAGCUACAUUGAAGGGAAGGAACCGGUUUGCAUUUGUUUUGCCAGAGUUGUAAAUAUAACAGCAAUUAGAUAUACAGACGUUUGUAGAAAGUGCCGGUGUUAAACCAAGAACCAGUUAUGCAGUGUACUGCGCACCUUGACUUUUGUUUCAUUGGAAUUAACACAUACUAAAACUUUGCAUCUAGUAAAAAAAA